ACCUAUAUAAUUUAUGUGAGAAUAUUGUGCUGAAGAUACAAAAGAGAUUUAUUAAUUGUCUGUAG
rnacentral:tRNA from 1 species